rnacentral:sRNA from 1 species
CUCUGGAUGCUGUCGAACCGGUUGGGGUGGAAGAACUCGGAUUUGAGCACGGCAAAGAAGCUUUCCAUGGCGGCGUUGUCGAGACAGUUGCCUUUGCGGGACAUGCUCUCAGCGAUGUUCCGCGCCUGCAGCCGGCGCUGAUAGGCCGGCAUUUGGUAGUGCCAUCCCUGAUCGGAGUGCAGGAUCGGCCUGUCUU